UACAGAGGGUGCAAGCGUUGUUCGGAUUUACUGGGCGUAAAGCGCGUGUAGGCGGUGGCGUAAGUCGGAUGUGAAAUCCCUCGGCUUAACCGAGGACGUGCACCCGAUACUGCGGGGCUAGAGUGCAGAAGGGGCAACUGGAAUUCUCGGUGUAGCGGUGAAAUGCGUAGAUAUCGAGAGGAACACCUGCGGCGAAGGCGGGUUGCUGGGCUGACACUGACGCUGAUGCGCGAAAGCUAGGGGAGCGAACGGG
rnacentral:rRNA from 1 species